rnacentral:rRNA from 1 species
UACGUAGGGGGCAAGCGUUGUCCGGAAUCAUUGGGCGUAAAGAGCGUGUAGGCGGCCAGAUAAGUCCGCUGUGAAAUCUCGAGGCUCAACUUCGAGCUGUCGGUGGAAACUGUCUGGCUAGAGUCCGGAAGAGGAGAAUGGAAUUCCUGGUGUAGCGGUGAAAUGCGCAGAUACCAGGAAGAACACCCGUGGCGAAGGCGGUUCUCUGGGACGGUACUGACGCUGAGACGCGAAAGCGUGGGGAGCGAACAGG